rnacentral:lncRNA from 10 species
CAGAGGUUGCAAUGAGCCAAGAUUUUGCCCCUGCACUCCAGCCUGGGCGACAGAGUGAGACUCUGUCUAAAAAAAAAAAAAAAAAAACAGCAAAGGCGUGAAGAAUGGCUGUAAUUCCAGAACUUUGGGAGGCUGAGGCAGGAGGAUCACUGGAGCCUAGCAGUCAAGACCAGUCUGGGUAACAUAGUGAGAUUCCAUCUCUACAAAAAACUUGGGCUAGGCAUGGUGGCUCAUGCCUGUAGACCCAUCACUUUGGGAGGCCGAGGAGGGUGGAUCGCUUGAGGCCAGAAGUUGGAGACCAGCCUGGGCAACAUAGUGAGACCCCGUCUGUACUAAAAAUACAAAAAUUAGCCGGGUGUGGUGACGUUCAGCUGUGGUCCCAGCUACUUCAGGAGACUGAGAGAGGAGGAUCGCUAAGCCGGGGAGUCUGAGGCUACAGUGAGCCAUGAUCGUGCACUCCAGCCUGGGCAAAGGAGCAAGAUGCUGUCUCAAAAAUUUAAAAAGGAGGCCGGGCAUGGUGGCUCAUGUCUACAAUCCCAGCACUUUGGGAGGCCGAGCCGGGUGGAUCACCUGAGGCCAGGAGUUCAACACCAGCCUGGCCAACAUGGUGAAACCCUGUCUUUACUAAAAAUACAAAAAUUAGCCAGGCGUGGUGGCGGGCACCUGUAAUCCCAGCUACUAGGGAGGCUGAGGCAGGAGAAUCGCUUGAACCCGGGAGGCGGAGGUUGUAGUGAGCCGAGAUCAUGCCACUGUACUCCAGCCUGGGUGACAGACCAAGACUCAGUCUCAAAAAAUAAAUAAAAUAAAAUAAAAUAAAAUAAAUAAAGGAUCAUCAUCACCAGGGGGCGAAAGGAAGCUUUGCAAUUUUCUUUCUUUUUUUUUUUUGAGAUGGAGUCUUGCUCUGUAACCCAGGCUGGAGUGCAGUGGCACGAUCUCGGCUCACUGCAAGCUCCGCCUCCCGGGUUCACACCAUUCUCCUGCCUCAGCCUCCCGAGUAGCUGGGAUUACAGGUGCCCGCCACCAUGCCAGGCUCAUUUUUUGUACUUUUAGUAGAGAUGGGGUUUCACCGUGUUAGCCAGGAGGGUCUCGAUCUCCUGACCUUGUGAUCUGCCUGCCUCGGCCUCCCAAAGUGUUGGGAUUACAGGCGUGAGCCACCGCGCCCGGUCAGCUUUGCAAUUGUCUUCCCAGACAUCUGCAAACCUCUCCAAAGUCUUUUCUAUCCUUUCUCUCAGGAGGGGCUAUCGGCGGCUCAGGGGGAGUGGGGCAAAGUCCAACGGCCUGGGGGUAAGAGGAGAAGGUGCAACCACCCUUUGGCCAGUGGAGACAAAAGUUCAGCUUCGGCCUGGCGCAGUGGCUCACGCCUGUAAUCCCAGCACUUUGGGAGGCCGAGGUGGGCGGAUCACGUGAGGUAGAAAGUUCAAGACCAGCCUGGCCAACAUGGUGAAACCCCGUCUCUAUUAAAAAUACAAAAUUAGCUGGGUGUGGUGGCGUAUGCCUGUAAUCCCAGCUACUUGGGAGGCUGAGGCAGGAGAAUCACUUGAACCCGGGAAGCAGAGGUAGCAGUGAGCCAAGAUCACGCCAUUGCACUCCAACCUGGGCAACUAGAAUGAAACUCUGUCUCAAAAAAAAAAGUUAAAAAAAAAAAAUUAGCCGGGCGUGGUGGCGGGUGCCUGUAGUCCCAGCUACUCGGGAGGCUGAGACAGGAGAAUCGCUUGAACCCGGGAAGUGGAGGUUGCAGUGAGCCGAGAUCGCUCCACUGCACUCCAGCCUGGGUGACACAGUGAGACUCUGUCUCACAAAAAAAAGAAAAAAAAAGAAAAGAAAAAAAUUAGCCAGUCAUGGUUGUGCAUGCCUGUCAUCCAAGCUACUAAGGAGGCCGAGGUGGGAGGAUUGUUUAAGCCUGGGAUGUUGAGGCUGCCGUGAGCCAAGAGUCGCCACUGCACUCCAGCCUGGGCAAAGGAUCUUCCUAGCAAUCUCUUACUUUCCCUCAAUAGAAUUCCUCUUUUCCCACUCCAGGAGAGAAGAUCCAAGCCCCAUUAGAAUUU